rnacentral:rRNA from 1 species
AGAAUCAACGCUGGCGGCGUGCCUCAGACAUGCAAGUCGAACGAUUAAAGCUCUCUUCGGAGAGUGCAUAGAGUGGCGCACGGGUGAGUAACACGUAAGUAAUCUACCCUCGAGUGGGGAAUAACGUCCGGAAACGGACGCUAAUACCGCAUAAUGCAGCGGCACCGCAAGGUGACAGUUGUUAAAGGAGAAAUUCGCUUGAGGAGGAGCUUGCGGCAGAUUAGCUAGUUGGUAAGGUAAUGGCUUACCAAGGCUACGAUCUGUAACCGGUCUAAGAGGACGGUCGGUCACACUGACACUGAAGUAACGGGUCAGACUCCUACGGGAGGCAGCAGUCGGGAAUUUUGGGCAAGUGGGGGAAACCCUGACCCAGCAACGGCCGCGUGAAGGAUGAAGUUAGUUGGUAUGUAAACGUUACGAAAGAAUAGGAAA